rnacentral:rRNA from 1 species
GACGAACGCUGGCGGCGUGCUUAACACAUGCAAGUCGAACGAUGAAGCCUAGCUUGCUAGGUGGAUUAGUGGCGAACGGGUGAGUAAUACGUGAGUAACCUACCUUUAACUCUGGGAUAAGCCCGGGAAACUGGGUCUAAUACCGGAUACGACCAAUCUCCGCAUGGGGUGUUGGUGGAAAGCGUUAUGUAGUGGUUAUAGAUGGGCUCACGGCCUAUCAGCUUGUUGGUGAGGUAACGGCUCACCAAGGCGACGACGGGUAGCCGGCCUGAGAGGGUGACCGGCCACACUGGGACUGAGACACGGCCCAGACUCCUACGGGAGGCAGCAGUGGGGAAUAUUGCACAAUGGGCGCAAGCCUGAUGCAGCGACGCCGCGUGAGGGAUGACGGCCUUCGGGUUGUAAACCUCUGUUAGCAGGGAAGAAGAGAGAUUGACGGUACCUGCAGAGAAAGCGCCGGCUAACUACGUGCCAGCAGCCGCGGUAAUACGUACGGCGCGAGCGUUGUCCGGAAUUAUUGCGCGUACAGAGCUUGUAGGCGGUUUGUCGCGUCUGCUGUGAAGGCCGGGGCUUAACUCCGUGUAUUGCAGUGGGUACGGGCAGACUAGAGUGCAGUAGGGGAGACUGGAAUUCCUGGUGUAGCGGUGGAAUGCGCAGAUAUCAGGAGGAACACUGAUGGCGAAGGCAGGUCUCUGGGCUGUAACUGACGCUGAGAAGCGAAAGCAUGGGGAGCGAACAGGAUUAGAUACCCUGGUAGUCCAUGCCGUAAACGUUGGGCACUAGGUGUGGGGAACAUUCCACGUUUUCCGCGCCGUAGCUAACGCAUUAAGUGCCCCGCCUGGGGAGUACGGCCGCAAGGCUAAAACUCAAAGAAAUUGACGGGGGCCCGCACAAGCGGCGGAGCAUGCGGAUUAAUUCGAUGCAACGCGAAGAACCUUACCAAGGCUUGACAUAUACUGGACCGCAUCAGAGAUGGUGUUUCCCUUCGGGGCUGGUAUACAGGUGGUGUAUGGUUGUCGUCAGCUCGUGUCGUGAGAUGUUGGGUUAAGUCCCGCAACGAGCGCAACCCUCGUUCUAUGUUGCCAGCACGUAAUGGUGGGGACUCAUAGGAGACUGCCGGGGUCAACUCGGAGGAAGGUGGGGAUGACGUCAAAUCAUCAUGCCCCUUAUGUCUUGGGCUUCACGCAUGCUACAAUGGCCGGUACAGAGGGUUGCGAUACUGUGAGGUGGAGCUAAUCCCUAAAAGCCGGUCUCAGUUCGGAUUGGGGUCUGCAACUCGACCCCAUGAAGUCGGAGUCGCUAGUAAUCGCAGAUCAGCAACGCUGCGGUGAAUACGUUCCCGGGCCU